rnacentral:rRNA from 1 species
AUUGAACGCUGGCGGCAUGCCUUACACAUGCAAGUCGAACGGCAGCACGGGUGCUUGCACCUGGUGGCGAGUGGCGAACGGGUGAGUAAUACAUCGGAACGUACCUUAUCGUGGGGGAUAACGCAGCGAAAGCUGUGCUAAUACCGCAUACGCCCUGAGGGGGAAAGCGGGGGAUCGAAAGACCUCGCGCGAUUAGAGCGGCCGAUGCCUGAUUAGCUUGUUGGUGGGGUAAAAGCCCACCAAGGCAACGAUCAGUAGCUGGUCUGAGAGGACGAUCAGCCACACUGGGACUGAGACACGGCCCAGACUCCUACGGGAGGCAGCAGUGGGGAAUUUUGGACAAUGGGGGCAACCCUGAUCCAGCAAUGCCGCGUGAGUGAAGAAGGCCUUCGGGUUGUAAAGCUCUUUUGUCAGGGAAGAAACACCGGCUCUAACACAGUCCGGGAAUGACGGUACCUGAAGAAUAAGCACCGGCUAACUACGUG